CAUCUAAGCGGGAAGCCUACCUCAAGAUAAGAUUUCCCUAGGACUUUAUGUCCUCUAAAGAGCCGUUCGAGACUAGGACGUUGAUAGGUUGGAUGUGGAAGCAUAGUGAUAUGUGAAGCUGACCAAUACUAAUUGCUCGUGAGGCUUGACUAU
rnacentral:rRNA from 1 species